rnacentral:rRNA from 1 species
AUUGAACGCUGGCGGCAUGCCUUACACAUGCAAGUCGAACGGUAACAGGUCUUCGGAUGCUGACGAGUGGCGAACGGGUGAGUAAUACAUCGGAACGUGCCUAGUAGUGGGGGAUAACUACUCGAAAGAGUGGCUAAUACCGCAUGAGAUCUACGGAUGAAAGCAGGGGAUCGCAAGACCUUGUGCUACUAGAGCGGCCGAUGGCAGAUUAGGUAGUUGGUGGGAUAAAAGCUUACCAAGCCGACGAUCUGGAGCUGGUCUGAGAGGACGAUCAGCCACACUGGGACUGAGACACGGCCCAGACUCCUGCGGGAGGCAGCAGUGGGGAAUUUUGGACAAUGGGCGCAAGCCUGAUCCAGCAAUGCCGCGUGCAGGAUGAAGGCCUUCGGGUUGUAAACUGCUUUUGUACGGAACGAAAAGCCCUGGGUUAAUACCCUGGGGUCAUGACGGUACCGUAAGAAUAAGCACCGGCUAACUACGUGCCAGCCGCCGCAGUAACAC